GUUGGGUAGGGGAGCGUUCUGUAAGCCUGUGAAGGUGUGUCGUGAGGCAUGCUGGAGGUAUCAGAAGUGCGAAUGCUGACAUAAGUAACGAUAAAGCGGGUGAAAAGCCCGCUCGCCGGAAGACCAAGGGUUCCUGUCCAACGUUAAUCGGGGCAGGGUGAGUCGACCCCUAAGGCGAGGCCGAAAGGCGUAGUCGAUGGGAAACGGGUUAAUAUUCCCGUACUUGGUGUUACUGCGAAGGGGGGACGGAGAAGGCUAUGUUGGCCGGGCGACGGUUGUCCCGGUUUAAGCGUGUAGGUGUGUGUUCCAGGUAAAUCCGGUUCACUUUAACACUGAGGCGUGACGACGAGGCACUACGGUGCUGAAGCAACAAAUGCCCUGCUUCCAGGAAAAGCCUCUAAGCAUCAGGUAACACGAAAUCGUACCCCAAACCGACACAGGUGGUCAGGUAGAGAAUACCAAGGCGCUUGAGAGAACUCGGGUGAAGGAACUAGGCAAAAUGGUGCCGUAACUUCGGGAGAAGGCACGCUGACACGUAGGUGAAGUGAUUUACUCAUGGAGCUGAAGUCAGUCGAAGAUACCAGCUGGCUGCAACUGUUUAUUAAAAACACAGCACUGUGCAAACACGAAAGUGGACGUAUACGGUGUGACGCCUGCCCGGUGCCGGAAGGUUAAUUGAUGGGGUCAGCGCAAGCGAAGCUCCUGAUCGAAGCCCCGGUAAACGGCGGCCGUAACUAUAACGGUCCUAAGGUAGCGAAAUUCCUUGUCGGGUAAGUUCCGACCUGCACGAAUGGCGUAAUGAUGGCCAGGCUGUCUCCACCCGAGACUCAGUGAAAUUGAACUCGCUGUGAAGAUGCAGUGUACCCGCGGCAAGACGGAAAGACCCCGUGAACCUUUACUAUAGCUUGACACUGAACAUUGAGCCUUGAUGUGUAGGAUAGGUGGGAGGCUUUGAAGUGUGGACGCCAGUCUGCAUGGAGCCGACCUUGAAAUACCACCCUUUAAUGUUUGAUGUUCUAACGUGGACCCGUAAUCCGGGUUGCGGACAGUGUCUGGUGGGUAGUUUGACUGGGGCGGUCUCCUCCUAAAGAGUAACGGAGGAGCACGAAGGUUGGCUAAUCCUGGUCGGACAUCAGGAGGUUAGUGCAAUGGCAUAAGCCAGCUUGACUGCGAGCGUGACGGCGCGAGCAGGUGCGAAAGCAGGUCAUAGUGAUCCGGUGGUUCUGAAUGGAAGGGCCAUCGCUCAACGGAUAAAAGGUACUCCGGGGAUAACAGGCUGAUACCGCCCAAGAGUUCAUAUCGACGGCGGUGUUUGGCACCUCGAUGUCGGCUCAUCACAUCCUGGGGCUGAAGUAGGUCCCAAGGGUAUGGCUGUUCGCCAUUUAAAGUGGUACGCGAGCUGGGUUUAGAACGUCGUGAGACAGUUCGGUCCCUAUCUGCCGUGGGCGCUGGAGAACUGAGGGGGGCUGCUCCUAGUACGAGAGGACCGGAGUGGACGCAUCACUGGUGUUCGGGUUGUCAUGCCAAUGGCACUGCCCGGUAGCUAAAUGCGGAAGAGAUAAGUGCUGAAAGCAUCUAAGCACGAAACUUGCCCCGAGAUGAGUUCUCCCUGAGACUUAGAGUCUCCUGAAGGAACGUUGAAGACGACGACGUUGAUAGGCCGGGUGUGUAAGCGCAGCGAUGCGUUGAGCUAACCGGUACUAAUGAACCGUGAGGCUUAACCUUACAACGCCGAAG
rnacentral:rRNA from 3 species